GUCUACGGCCAUGCCACCCUGAACAAGCCCAAUGUCUGAUCUUGGAAGCUAAGCAGGGUCGGGCCUGGUUAGUACUUGGUUGGGGGACCACCUAGGAAGACCAGGUGCUGUAGGCA
rnacentral:rRNA from 1 species